CCAAUAGCGUAUAUUAAAGUUGUUGCAGUUAAAAAGCUCGUAGUUGAAUUUCGGGAUCAAAGAAUCGGUCAUGCCUUGGUAUGUACUGGUUUUAUUGGUUCUCACCUUCUAAAGAACCAUGAUGUCAUUCAUUUGAUGUUAUGGGGAAUUAGGACUGUUACCUUGAAAAAAUUAGAGUGUUUAAAGCAAGCUUACGCUUGAAUACAUUAGCAUUGAAUAAUGAAAUAGGACAUCAGAUUCUAUUUUGUUGGUUUCUAGGAUCGAUGUAAUGAUUAAUAGGGAUAGUUGGGGGCAUUAGUAUUCAAUUGUCAGAGGUGAAAUUCUUGGAUUUAUUGAAGACUAACUACUGCGAAAGCAUUUGCCAAGGAUGUUUUCAUUAAUCAAGAACGAAAGUUAGGGGAUCGAAGACGAUCAGAUACCGUCGUAGUCUUAACCAUAAACUAUGCCGACUAGGGAUCGGAUGAUGUUAAUUUUUUAAUGACUCAUUCGGCACCUUACG
rnacentral:rRNA from 1 species